UACGGAGGAUGCAAGCGUUAUCCGGAUUCAUUGGGUUUAAAGGGUGCGCAGGUUGUUUGAUAAGUCAGUGGUGAAAGUCUGUCGCUUAACGGUAGGAUUGCCAUUGAUACUGUUGGACUUGAAUAUGGAUGAGGUAGGCGGAAUGUGGAGUGUAGCGGUGAAAUGCAUAGAUAUUACACAGAACACCGAUUGCGAAGGCAGCUUACUAAUCCAUCAUUGACGCUGAGGCACGAAAGCGUGGGGAUCAAACA
rnacentral:rRNA from 1 species